GGGGGUGAUACAGGUCUCGACUGGGGAUUUGUUGGGUCAAGGGCUGCAAGUGGAGCGCUGACUCCUUAAACCGGCACAAACAUAACUGCAAACAAUAACGCAGAUUACGCAGUAGCUGCUUAGUUCAGCUACCGGGCUUUACAUGCACUGUUCCGAGCGUGUAAAUGCUUGAAAGAAACCGGGACUUACCGGGAGCAUUGGUCAUGGUGUUUCAGGGAAAUUUUUCAUGACCUUGGAUGACAAUAGGUUGGCUCAUGUGCCGGUUGUCGUCUGAAAUCAAACCAUGAGCUAAGCUUGUAAAGGUUUUUGAAACGCACCUUAGGACGCGGGUUCGAUUCCCGCCACCUCCAUAA
rnacentral:tmRNA from 1 species